AGAUUAUCUCGAAGGUAGAUCUAUGGGAAUUACUUAUCUGAGCCAAAGUAAUUCAGGUAAUUCAGGUGUAGUGAAAC
rnacentral:pre_miRNA from 1 species